rnacentral:siRNA from 1 species
GAAACCCAUAAUCGUUCUAGACCU